CCUACGGGGGGCAGCAGUGAGGAAUAUUGGUCAAUGGACGAGAGUCUGAACCAGCCACGUAGCGUGAAGGAUGACUGCCCUCUGGGUUGUAAACUUCUUUUAUAAAGGAAUAAAACGAGGCACGUGUGCCUUUUUGCAUGUACUUUAUGAUUAAGGAUCGGCUAACUCCGUGCCAGCAGCCGCGGUAAUACGGAGGAUCCGAGCGUUAUCCGGAUUUAUUGGGUUUAAAGGGAGCGUAGAUGGGUUGUUAAGUCAGUUGUGAAAGUUUGCGGCUUAACCGUAAAAUUGCAAUUGAUACUGGCAGUCUAGAGUACAGUUGAGGUAGGCGGAAUUCGUGGUGUAGCGGUGAAAUGCUUAGAGAUCACGAAGAACACCGAUUGCGAAGGCAGCUUACUAGACUGUGACUGACAUUGAUGCUCGAAAGUGUGGGUAUCAAACAGGAUUAGAUACCCUAGUAGUC
rnacentral:rRNA from 1 species